UACGUAGGGUGCAAGCGUUAAUCGGAAUUACUGGGCGUAAAGCGCGCGUAGGCGGCUUUGCAAGUCAGAUGUGAAAUCCCCGGGCUUAACCUGGGAACUGCAUUUGUGACUGCAUGGCUGGAGUGCGGCAGAGGGGGAUGGAAUUCCGCGUGUAGCAGUGAAGUGCGUAGAUAUGCGGAGGAACACCGAUGGCGAAGGCAAUCCCCUGGGCCUGCACUGACGCUCAUGCACGAAAGCGUGGGGAGCAAACAGG
rnacentral:rRNA from 1 species